AUGAGAUCGUUGGUGAGAUUAAGCUUGAAACCGACAAUAUUCUCAACUCCAAUGCUACUGAAAAAUGCAGUAAGGCUUGUGCCUAAUCCAAUAAGAAGUGCAAAGGUCCAUUUGAGGCAGACAUACUGUACUAUGUCAGCUUUUGCUCUAGACCCGGUCUUGUUUGAAUAUAUCAUUCUCAAUGAUCCU